AUGGGCUCUAGUGCUACAUACAGAAUCCAGCUCCGUCACAGAGUGAGCAUCCAGAGUCACAGUUAUCAUGUAGCAACGUCCUGUACCCAGCUCUCUGUGUUCAGCUGGUGCAGCGGCACUGCUGUGUUUGAUGCCAGCCUUCACUUUAAACACAGAAGAAGAAAAACUUCUGUAGAAAUAAAGGAUGGACCUCCUGUGUGCGAGAGAUCCGAGCUGCCACAGAAAGCACGAAUUGGGCUGGUGAAAACAGAUCCUGAAUGGAAAGAGAAGUCCCACUCUCUACUGUUGGGAAAGACUCUGAACCAUGGAGUAGCCAGGUGAAAUAUCACGGUAAGAAGUGAUGAUAUUUGGACGAACAAAAGAACAUAUAACCCUGCAGUUAUUGCUCACUUUUGUGCCAGCUGAAGCCAGAUUGGCAUCUAUCCCAAAAAAACUAGCACAUAUUUUGAUUCUGUGAUUUUCAUUUUCUUCUUCCUUAAAAAAGAACUAUUCCUGUAAAGUCAGCCAGGAUUUAAACAAAUAGAUCUAUAGCAUGAUAAUAACCCCAUUAAAAAAAAUAAUUAGGAACACGGCCUGAAAUAACUGUCUAAAGAUAUUUAGAAACAUAAAUCAGCCCAAGUAUUUGAAUAACAGCUAGGUGAUGAUGGAGACAACACGAGGUGGUCUUGCUUGAGAACCCAGUGCUUUGUUUUGAUACACGGAGCAUCAAAUGGAGCAGAGCAAGGGCCCAUUGCUCCACUGUGUUCUCAGGCCAAUCCGCCUGUAAGAUAACUGUCAGAAAGGGCAAACAGGCAGUAAAAUCCUUCCCACUAGUUAUGUUGUUUUGUGAGAGCAGAGCAGCUUUCAGCUGACAAAGAGAGAUCUAACAUCUGAAAUACAGAUCACUCUUAUCAAGUUGGGCUUUUUUCAUGAAAAACACUUUAUUAUUUUGCUUUUGAUGAUAUUCAGUGCUAUUAUUUCAGACCUCUCUGCUACAGAGACCUACAAAAAUAUUGCUUCGCAUUCCUUUUUAUCAUUUGUUGUUUAACUUGCCAGAGAGUUUGACUCAACCACACACCGUAGUCAAAGGGAGUUUUUCAGCACGUUUGAACUUAGUUCUUAGUUUCUACCUUUAUCAAGCCAUCUAGGUCUUUUCCACAUACAUUUCUCAGGGCCACAGGAACACAGUGUGUGCACACCAGUGUCACUUCAACUGCAAAGCCAACCACAACCCCCAGUUCUGAGGGAAACAAUAACAAGACUCAGAUUUGCAGAAAAACUGUCAGCCCAUUGCACCUCUGCUUUGCUGCUCAUUCCUCUAUCCCAUUCCCCCCCCAAAUGC
rnacentral:lncRNA from 1 species